UUGAACUAUUACAAAAACUUUAACAUAAGUGGUUACGCCGACGCCAACGCUCGGGUGACUAACAUAGCUCUACUUAUUCUUAUCGAAUAGUCAAGCUAAAAAUCUGGAACAAAAUAUUUUGUCCCAGAUAAAAUUAAGCUUGAAAACGAUAAAAAAAUGUGAUUCAAUAACCUAGGCCAUUUAUGUAUUAUUCAGGCGUGAAAACAAAUCAGUUUCACAAGUUGACGAAUGAAAUAAAUGUUAUGUAUAUUUGUGUGUGGAAGGACUGAAUUACACAUAUAACUAACUAUAAACGGAUAUCUUGUACGCCUUUACAAGUUUAUAAAAUUCGCCCACCAUAAUUUCGUACCCAUCACAGCCUCACUGUGUGUGUGUAGACCUGUGUUGGGGGGGGGGGGUAAAUAGAUUUGCGAGUGUUCGUCCGCCAUACUGUUCUUCCGUAGACUGACAAAAGAAUGGCUGCUUUGGACAUCCAUGUCAAAUUAUCUCAUUUCUGUUUAUCUAUAAAAUUGUGUUUUCAACAGUAAAUAAUACUAAUAUUGCAAGAAAAAAAAAUGUUCAGGCUGUUUUUAUACUAAGACAGUUACUGUAAUUAUUUCUGCACUGGAAUGAGUUUACUAAACUUAUUCAUGUUCAGCAUGGCUUAAUUAAAUGAAACAUAUAUGUUUAGAGGUUUAAUUGUAUGUAAUCAGAUCCUUCUUUUUUAAAAUGUCAAUUCUGUUAAUAGUCUUAGUAAAAUAUUUGAGGAAAGCAUGUGUACUUUUUUCACUUGUAAAUAAGCAUCAUAUAUAAAUUUUCAGGGUGGAGACUCAAGUCCUAGUGUAGCUUCCAUAGAAAGUUUUGAAGAUAUGGAAACAAGUUCGACUCCAGAGAGAGAGAGUAGAUCAAGAGGUAAAGGUCGUGGGAAAAGAGGUGGAAGAGGAAGUAGGUCAAGGGGCAGGUCAAGGGGCGCAAGGUCAAGUAGUUCAAGAGGGCGAGGAAGCAGGUCCAGGGGUAGAGGACGUGGCCAUUUAGAAGAACAGAGAGAAGUUGGAGCCUUUGAGAUAAUCCAACAGCGUCAAGAGAGUAUGAGGGAAGAAUUGUCAAGACAGACAAGAGAGGAAUUACAGGAAAUCCUCUAUGAAACUGUUGGGAGGUACCCAAGCCUCAUGUUUGAUAUUAUGAGGCCAGCACAACACCAACCAGGGGGCUAUCACCCAGCGCCUUGAAGUACUGUUCCUCAAUGGAACAAAAAAUCCAUCCAGGAAAAGAGUCACAACUUCUUCUGAACGAGAGGGAAACAAAAAUGACAAUUUAGUAAUGCCUGCAUUGAAAUAAUUAUUACACAUUAUUUUAACAAGGGAGAUAACUAUAUCAUUUUGUUGUUUAUAUACUGUAAUUAUUAGACAUUAUUUCAACAAGGGAGAUAACUAUAUUGUGUCAUAGUUGUUAUAAUGAUUAUACUGUAAGUGCUUACAUUAAAGGUACUCUACUGAGGUUUAUGAGCCUAAACCAUAACAUUUUAAUUUUCACAUAGAUAAACGUAAGCACUUUAAACAGUAAUAUAAAUAAGAUAUAAACAGGAAAUAUACAAGAAAUACAUUGAAAAUCAUAUGUUUGUGCUAUUCUCGGUCCAAUUUGAGUGAAAAGCGUUUAAAAGCUUUUCAAUUUUGGGUCAUUUUUCACUAUCAUAAUAAUUAUUCUGAAAAACGGAGCGAGCUUAUGAUCUGAAAUUUUGCACAUAAGUUAAAAGUAUAGAUCUUACAUCAAAUGGAGUAAUAAUCUCAAAAAAUUAUUUCCAGUCCCGUCAUGUCAAAAAACCUCAGUGGAGUCCCUUUAAAUAAUUAGAAUAUGCUUAUAACAUAUUUCAUUGAUUGAUAAUUAAUUAUAAUAUCUUAUAAAAUACUGUUUUCAAUAUAUUUUAUGAUAAUAAAAUUAUGUAACAGAGUCAAAACAAAAACAAACAAAAAACACCUGCAAUCGAGACAAAUGGUAACACUGUGAAUAAUGUAACUGAUAGCCAUUAUAACAAAAGAAACAAGGACUUGCGAUGCCCAUCUGCACCUUAACCCCAAACAAGUACAAUGGAUUCGUACCAGAGUGGAACAAUUGUGGACACAUUGUCAACCAAAUUGGAGGCAAUUGUAGAUAAAAAAAUUCAAGACAUUUUGGGAAGGAUAAGACAGACACAAGUGCUACUCAAAUUAUGCCUGUUUUGGAAUGACCACAGCCAGAGAAACCAAAUACAAUUUCUACUUUUGGUUAUUUCUACUUUUGGUGAUCAGCCUGGUCAUAUGUGACGCGCUCAGCAAUUUUUGACCCAAUUGAGGUUUUAAUAAUUGCGAGAAAAACACUUGCAAAGUCACACAAAUUUUCAUGUCUUAAUUUUAAGGGGUUCCAGUACAGUAACAUGAACUAAAUUUUAAGUUUAUAUUUAGAAAUAAUGCUGUAUUGUUUUAUGCAAAUACUUGAAAAUAAUGUUAAGCUCAUAUCCAUAUACAUUAUUUUCAGAACAUAUAGAUAUUUUAUCUAUUUGCUGAUGAAUAUACUAAACUAUUGUUGCAAAUGAGGAAGAACAUAAUUAUAGAUAUUUUAUCUAUUUGCUGAUGAAUAUACUAAACUAUUGUUGCAAAUGAGGACAAUGUGUGACAUCUUUGCCCUAUUGAGCACCAGGGGUAUGGAGUAAAAAAACAACACUUUUCAUCAACUGUACUGUAUUGGUCAGGAUUAACAACACUUCAAUUGGGUAAGAUGUAUAUUUAUGCAGUAUUCCAUAUUAAAUAAUCUAUUUUGUGAAAUGUAAAGUGAGGUGUCUUCACCACAAUACAUGCACAUAAUGUAGAUUCAGUCAUGUUCACAUAAUGUAGAUUCAGGUUAUUUUAGUCAUGUUCAAGAUGAAUGUUACUGCUACAUGUACAUGAUAUAUAGACUGUAAUAUAUUACUUACAUAGUUCGUACAUGAUGAACAAGACUAUAUAUGAACCAAAUAGCUGUGCAACACUAUACAACAAUUUACUUGUCAUUCAUUUCUGUUCAUUAAAAUCAUCAUAUACACUAUAUUGUUUCAUUUAUACUUAUUAAGGUUUUUAUUAUUUCAGGAUGGCAUGUGAGAAGUCAAUGACUUGUCUAUGUUUGACAGUAUAUGAAAGUGAAUUACAUUCUCAUAGAAUUUGUGUCUUCAGGAGUAUCCCUGAAAAUGCUGAAAACUGUGGUGACAGAUGUUACAGUAUUUUUACUUAAUUGUGAAACAAGUUUUUGCAAGUUUUAUAUACGAUUCACUUUAUGCUUACAAAAACUGAAGACAUGAGGAGACAUGGUUGUUGUUACCCUGUUUGGAUUAAACCCUCAACCUAGGGUUGCAAGACUACACAUUCAAGGACAUAAGUGAGCUGUUAUUUUUGACUUCCCAUGUGUUUGCAAGAAUCUGCUAUUGUAAUUCUUUCAAAUUAUUGAAAUCAUUUCAAUUUGAAAAUAUACUAAUAUGUUAUUCAUAUUAUACAAUUUAAAAUACACUGAUCAGAAUAAUUGAUUACACUGUCAAUAUCUGUAACUGUUAAUAUAGUCAGGAAAAUAACUAGUGCAGUUAUUGUGAAUACAAUUAUCUUAUAUGGAAUAUUUUUUUAGAAAAUACCAUAUUUUAAAUCAUUCAGUUUUUUCAUCAUUUUUUUGUUACCAUGGCAACCAAAAUAUACCAUUUUUGUAAUCAGUGCAUUAAAGAAUAUUUGUUUUGCAAUGGAUUUAUAAUUUAUAUGCUAUCAUGUAACAGCUAUGAGUUUUAAAGUAGACUAACUUAAGUUAUGAUAUUCGCCUUAAUCAUGGAAAAGAUACUAAAAUUCUGAGAAUUUAAUCCUUAUGUUAAUAUUUUAUUAUCAAUAACAAUUUAAGGGGAAAAUGAAAUAUCCUUUUUUUUUUCUUUUUCUGAAAAGUCUAAAAUAUUGUUGUCUUUUAAUAUUAUAUAUGCAUUCAUUUGGUGAUGAAUUAAUCAUGUUAAGUGCAAAAAUAUUGCAUUUGACAAUUUUUUUUUUAUUUUUGUUGCCAUGGCAAACGAUUAUUGAAAACAAAUGAUAGUUUUUUUAUCAAGAUAUUACAUAUAUUACACCAAGAUGAAUGAUAACUUGAUAUUUCGUUUAUUUUAAUGUGUAUAACUAUGGAAUAAUUUCUAGUUUAUAUAUACCAAUAAAAGUUUAAAUUUAUUUGUUGUUGUUAUGGUGAUGUCAUAAAAAUUAGAAUAUUUCAUAAAAUAUCAAGUAUUUUAAAAAAAUAAUUGUUUCCAGCUAUUCAGCAGAUGUUGUUCUACCUCAAACUAGUCAUAACUCAUUUUUGCCCAAAUAUCACAUUUGGACCAAAACUCACUGAGCUUGUCACAUAUAGGUACUGGUAUUUCUGGGAACCUUUCACUCCAUUCUUUGCCAUCUAUCCCUUUACAUGCAGCAGUAUCUUUAAACGUUAAAGAAAAAUAUGGGUUGAUGAAUUUGUAGACCUAUCAUCUGUGUUUAAUAAACAGGACAGGACCACUUACUAAAUAUCACAGUCACUAAAAUGUGACCCAUCUUCAAAUUCAAAAAUAUUUGUCUAUUGAACAAUGGACAGAUUUGUUUGCUACAUUUAAUAGCCUCUGUCUAUAUAGAUAAAAAUAUCCGGAGUCUGCUGAACCCCUUGCUCAGUCUACUCUAGAAACAUACAAAAGAUGUUGGACUCUAUUUCAAACGAUUCAAAGAAUCUGAAACUUGACCAUAUGCAGGGGAAAAAAACCUUGCUUAUAAUUGGACCAUUCAAGGUUCCAAUAAUAUAAAUGACAGCAUUUGAAUAUACUUAGACUAUGUGACCUUGACCCAAGCAUCUUGAAUAGUACACACAGGAAAAGGGUUGUUCUUCAAAAUAAUUAUGCAUUUUAUUUCCGUAACAAUUACAAUAUUAAUUCUAGAAUAGUGUUUGCAAGCAAUGCAAAAUUAAUGUUAAUUAGUCAAUUACCUUUGAAGUUUAAAAAAAAAUAAUGUAGAAUCCAAUGAUAAAGUUUUUCUUUUUCUUUUACCCUGUCGGGAUUCGAACCCACAGCGGUGAGGGGCAAGUGGUUUGAAGUCAACGACCUUAACCACUCGGCCACGGACGCCCCCUUUGUACAUUUAAUUAUGAUAUCAUGUGCAUAUAAAUUCUCAUAUUUUAUAAUGGAAAUAAACUGAAUGGUUAUAAUCUAAAUGAUUUAUAUAUUUUCUGCUGGAAUUCUUACAGAUGAGAAAGAACUUUGUUUGAAGUUUAAAUCACAACAAGAAAAGAAGCUAAAAGAGGAGAAAACAUGAGGAGAUAAGGUCAAAGACAAAGGUCAGUCUUGAGGGAAAAGUUUAAUGCCACAACUAGUCAAGGAGAUGAACGGACAGAAAAUUCAGAAACUAAGGACAAAUAUGAAAGUAAAACAAACAAAGGUAAUUCUUUUGUUGGAAAAUUGUUCUUCUCCAAAGAUUUCACUUUGAAUAAGAUACAGUAUAAGUACUUAUUUUGGCGGGGGUUUAUAUUUGGCUAUAUUGGCGGUCAGGGUCAGUAGCGCCAAUUCAAAACACCGCUAAUUUAAAGCACCGCCAUUUUAGAUCAUCGCCAUUAUUCUUUGAAAGGUAGACAACUCAUGGUAAAAGGGCUUUGGUUUGUCCGAGUAAUCUCCCUUGAUUAUUUGUAAUAAAAAUAAACAUUACAAGUAAGCUGAAAAGAAUUUGUUUAUUUUUAAGUCUUGGUACGAAACUCAUUUAAUUAUAUAUCUAUAUACUGUAUUUAUUACAAAGAUGAUCACACGACGAGAAACAAAUCUAAAUGUCAUUUAUUAUCGAAUUUAAGUAAACUAGUAUUUGUUUUGUUUUCACUGUUAUGUUUCAUAAUUUGAAAUAAAACUAAUGAUAACUGUAAUUAUAUAGCAAUCAGUUGUGGUGAACGUGAACAAUUUUUCACGCUUUAAAGACUGCAGGAUAAUAGGGCAUACCUUUCUCUUCCAUGGUCCAGUUACCACACGGUACCAUAUUUACACCUGUCUGAUCCCAGUUAAUUAUAAGAAUUAGCACGAUGUAAAGAUAAAGGUGACCAAGCAUAGGUAUACCGUAUGCCGUAAAAUAAACGAGGACAGUCAACUACUGCGUAACCGGUGUUAUUUUUAUUCUUUAUUUGUAAUCGCCAAUUCAUGACCCCAUAUUUAUGCCAACAAGUGUUUUAAUUUGGCGGUCUAAAAGCGAUUGCGCCAAUUUAUGACCCCGCCAAUUCAAAACACUUUAAAAAACGCCAACAUUUGACACCGCAGAUAUAAUGCGCUAUACAGUAUAUAUAUGCAAUGGCCCAAUAA